UUACACCCUGGGCUAUAACACCUCCACCGAAGUGGAGGCCACAUUCCCAGAGCCUUUAUCCGGCCGCCGAAACUGAUGCUGGCCUGUCCAAACUGAGUAAACCGGUCAGAAGACCGGCCGAACAGUUUAAACAAGUCUGAUUGCAAGCGCUUCCCUUUCAACAAUUUCACGUGCUUUUUAACUCUCUUUCCAAAGUGCUUUUCAUCUUUCGAUCACUCUACUUGUGCGCUAUCGGUCUCUCGCCAAUAUUUAGCUUUAGAAGAAAUUUACCUCCCAUUUAGAGCUGCAUUCCCAAACAACUCGACUCGUCGAAGGAGAUUUACAUAGGGUGCCAUUUCCUGUCACAUACGGGAUUCUCACCCUCUAUGACGUCCUGUUCCAAGGAACUUAGACAGGCGGCUUCCCCAAAUCAUCCUCUACAAAUUACAAUGCGAACCCGAAGGCUAGCUUUCAAAUUUGAGCUGUUGCCGCUUCACUCGCCGUUACUAGG
rnacentral:rRNA from 1 species